CUGAAAUUUGGUCUGAAGUGGGCUAAGAACCCAUAAACAUUGCUUUGAAGCAUUAAAUGGCUUUUUAGUGUUGUUUGGGUUUAUAAUAUGUUAAUAUACAAUAAAUUUGAGUUAUUACAGGUGCUUGAGAUGCAUGAAGACAAUUUAGAAGUGUGGAGAAAGACUUGUUGAAAUUUGGUCCCAUAUGGGCUUAGAACUCAGAAACAUUGCGUUGAACCACUAAAUGGCUUGUCUAGU
rnacentral:lncRNA from 1 species